AUAACAAAACAAAGCAUAAGUAAUCCUGCAGAAAUAACGUAAAUGAUUAUGUAAACAUAAGAAACAUAAAUACCGUCGCAUGCGACAAUAACAAGCGACUGAAUUACUCUACAACACGUGGCCUAAAUAAAGCUAAGUUGAACAGCCACAUCUCAUAACAUUUACUAAGACAGAAUAUUGAACCUCAACAAUUUUAAGCAUGAAUCAUAACGUCACCACACCAUCAAAGCUUAAUAAAA
rnacentral:lncRNA from 1 species